CCUACGGGCGGCUGCAGUGGGGAAUAAUGCACAAUGGGCGCAAGCCUGAUGCAGCCAUGCCGCGUGUGUGAAGAAGGCCUUCGGGUUGUAAAGCACUUUCAGCGGGGAGGAAGGCGUUAAGGUUAAUAACCUUGUCGAUUGACGUUACCCGCAGAAGAAGCACCGGCUAACUCCGUGCCAGCAGCCGCGGUAAUACGGAGGGUGCAAGCGUUAAUCGGAAUUACUGGGCGUAAAGCGCACGCAGGCGGUCUGUCAAGUCGGAUGUGAAAUCCCCGGGCUCAACCUGGGAACUGCAUUCGAAACUGGCAGGCUAGAGUCUUGUAGAGGGGGGUAGAAUUCCAGGUGUAGCGGUGAAAUGCGUAGAGAUCUGGAGGAAUACCGGUGGCGAAGGCGGCCCCCUGGACAAAGACUGACGCUCAGGUGCGAAAGCGUGGGGAGCAAACAGGAUUAGAUACCCCAGUAGUC
rnacentral:rRNA from 1 species